UACGGAGGGUGCAAGCGUUAUCCGGAUUCACUGGGUUUAAAGGGUGCGUAGGUGGGCUGGUAAGUCAGUGGUGAAAUCUCCAGGCUUAACUUGGAAACUGCCAUUGAUACUAUUAGUCUUGAAUACCGUGGAGGUCAGCGGAAUAUGUCAUGUAGCGGUGAAAUGCUUAGAUAUGACAUAGAACACCAAUUGCGAAGGCAGCUGGCUACACGAAUAUUGACACUCAGGCACGAAAGCGUGGGGAUCAAACAGG
rnacentral:rRNA from 1 species